GACGAACGCUGGCGGCGUGCUUAACACAUGCAAGUCGAACGAUGAAGCUGGAGCUUGCUCCGGUGGAUUAGUGGCGAACGGGUGAGUAACACGUGAGCAAUCUGCCCUUGACUCUGGGAUAACUGCGGGAAACUGUAGCUAAUACCGGAUAUGAGGCUCGAAGGCAUCUUCGGGUCUGGAAAGAAUUUCGGUCAAGGAUGAGCUCGCGGCCUAUCAGCUUGUUGGUGAGGUAAUGGCUCACCAAGGCGACGACGGGUAGCCGGCCUGAGAGGGUGACCAGCCACACUGGGACUGAGACACGGCCCAGACUCCUACGGGUGGCUGCAGUCGAGAAUCUUCCGCAAUGGGCGAAAGCCUGACGGAGCGACGCCGCGUGCGGGAUGAAGGCCCUUGGGUUGUAAACCGCUGUCAGGGGGGAUGAAAGCCGCAAGGCUUGACAGAGCCCCAGAGGAAGCACGGGCUAAGUUCGUGCCAGCCGCCGCAGUAA
rnacentral:rRNA from 1 species